UGGGUUUGACAUGUGAGUUAAUCCGGCAGAGAUGUCGGGUCCCUUGUGGAAACUCAUGCAGGUGGUGCAUGGCUGUCGUCAGCUCGUGUCGUGAGAUGUUGGGUUGAGUCCCGCAACGAGCGCAACCCUCGUCCUAUGUUGCCAGCACGUUAUGGUGGGGACUCAUAGGAGACUGCCGGGGUCAACUCGGAGGAAGGUGGGGAUGACGUACCAGUAUCGGAA
rnacentral:misc_RNA from 1 species